rnacentral:rRNA from 1 species
AUACGGGGGGUGCAAGCGUUAAUCGGAAUUACUGGGCGUAAAGCGCGCGUAGGCGGUUUGCUCAGUCGGAUGUGAAAGCCCAGGGCUCAACCUUGGAACUGCAUACGAUACUGGCAAACUAGAGUGUGAGAGAGGAUAGUGGAAUUUCCGGUGUAGCGGUGAAAUGCGUAGAUAUCGGAAGGAACAUCAGUGGCGAAGGCGACUGCCUGGCUCAACACUGACGCUGAGGUGCGAAAGCGUGGGUAGCAAACAGGAUUAGAAACCCUAGUAGUCC